rfam:Aedes aegypti strain Liverpool supercont1.38 genomic scaffold, whole genome shotgun sequence.
UGCCCAGCAACUACUAUCUCUACCUCCUCGCGGUACUGGCCGGGGUACCUUAGGGAAGAUUUGGUAACCAACCCCGGUGGGAACCUUGGUCGUAUGCUGACAGGGAAGA